GACGGAGGGGGCUAGCGUUGUUCGGAAUUACUGGGCGUAAAGCGCGCGUAGGCGGCCGGUCAAGUUAGGCGUGAAAGGCCUGGGCUCAACCUGGGAACGGCGCUUAAGACUGAUCGGCUGGAGUCCGGGAGAGGAUGGCGGAAUUCCCAGUGUAGAGGUGAAAUUCGUAGAUAUUGGGAAGAACACCGGUGGCGAAGGCGGCCAUCUGGUCCGGAACUGACGCUGAGGCGCGAAAGCGUGGGGAGCAAACAGG
rnacentral:misc_RNA from 1 species